GGGCGGGUAGCUCAGCCGGGAGAGCGUCGGCCUUACAAGCCGAAUGUCGCAGGUUCGAGCCCUGUCCCGCCCACCA
rnacentral:tRNA from 1 species